rnacentral:rRNA from 1 species
UUUCGCAAUGCCCGAAAGGGUGACGAAGCGACGCCGCGUGUGGGAAGAAGGCCUUCGGGUUGUAAACCACUGUCGGGAGUUAAGAAAUACAAGGAUAUUAAUAGUGUCUUUGUUUGACUAAGGCUCCGGAGGAAGCCACGGCUAACUCUGUGCCAGCAGCCGCGGUAAUACAGAGGCGGCAAGCGUUGUUCGGAAUUAUUGGGCGUAAAGAGCACGUAGGCGGCUAUGUAAGUCGGUUGUGAAAGCCUUCCGCUCAACGGAAGAACAGCAUCCGAUACUACAUGGCUUGAGUGCGGGAGGGGAGAGUGGAACUUCAGGUGGAGCGGUGAAAUGCGUAGAUAUCAGAAGGAACGCCGGCGGCGAAAGCGGCUCUCUGGCCCAUAACUGACGCUGAGUGUGCGAAAGCUAGGGGAGCAAACGGGAUUAGAUACCCCGGUAGUCCUAGCCGUAAACGAUGGGCACUAAGUAGAGGGGUUUU